ACCGUUUUAGUGUAUAUUUUUUUUUCUCGUCAGAUGAACGCUGGCGGCGUGCUAAUACAUGCAAGUCGAACGCGCAGCGAGAGGUGCUUGCACCUUUCAAGCGAGUGGCGAACGGGUGAGUAACACGUGGAUAACGUGCCUCAAGGCUGGGGAUAACAUUUGGAAACAGAUGCUAAUACCGAAUAAAACUUAGUAUCGCAUGAUAUCAAGUUAAAAGGCGCUACGGCGUCACCUAGAGAUGGAUCCGCGGUGCAUUAGUUAGUUGGUGGGGUAAAGGCUUACCAAGACGAUGAUGCAUAGCCGAGUUGAGAGACUGAUCGGCCACAUUGGGACUGAGACACGGCCCAAACUCCUACGGGAGGCUGCAGUAGGGAAUCUUCCACAAUGGGCGCAAGCCUGAUGGAGCAACGCCGCGUGUGUGAUGAAGGCUUUCGGGUCGUAAAGCACUGUUGUAUGGGAAGAAAUGCUAAAAUAGGGAAUGAUUUUAGUUUGACGGUACCAUACCAGAAAGGGACGGCUAAAUACGUGCCAGCAGCCGCGGUAAUACGUAUGUCCCGAGCGUUAUCCGGAUUUAUUGGGCGUAAAGCGAGCGCAGACGGUUGAUUAAGUCUGAUGUGAAAGCCCGGAGCUCAACUCCGGAAUGGCAUUGGAAACUGGUUAACUUGAGUGUUGUAGAGGUAAGUGGAACUCCAUGUGUAGCGGUGGAAUGCGUAGAUAUAUGGAAGAACACCAGUGGCGAAGGCGGCUUACUGGACAACAACUGACGUUGAGGCUCGAAAGUGUGGGUAGCAAACAGGAUUAGAUACCCUGGUAGUCCACACCGUAAACGAUGAAUACUAGGUGUUAGGAGGUUUCCGCCUCUUAGUGCCGAAGCUAACGCAUAAGUAUCCGC
rnacentral:rRNA from 1 species